rnacentral:rRNA from 1 species
UACGUAGGGUGCGAGCGUUAAUCGGAAUUACUGGGCGUAAAGCGUGCGCAGGCGGUUCGUUGUGUCUGAUGUGAAAGCUUCCGGCUUAACUGGAAAAUUGCAUCGGAAACUGCUCAGCUUGAAGGUGGGAGAGGGUAGCGGAAUUCCCGGUGUAGUGGUGAAAUGCGUAGAUAUCGGGAGGAACACCAGUGGCGAAGGCGGCUACCUGGCCCAUUCUUGACGCUGAGGCGCGAAAGCUAGGGGAGCAAACGGG